rfam:Oryza glumipatula chromosome 8, whole genome shotgun sequence.
UUUAAGUGCAGCUGCGGGUUUCCGUGUCCAACGACUGUUCGUCUUAUGUUUUUUAUAAUUAUUAUUUUUGUUGUUAUUAGAUGAUAGAACAUUAAUAGUACUUUAUGCAUGACUUAUUUUUUAAUUUUUUAUAAGUUUUUUAAAUAAGACGAACGAUCAAACGUUGGACACGAAAUACAUAGCUACACUUAAA